AAGGGAUACGGUUUACGCGCCAAGGUCCUCCCGCGAAACUCAGAUUUCCCGCCGGCUUUUCAAACCAUAUUUGCAUAUCUCCGCCCCUCAACCCGCCGAGGACUGUUCCCACAGUCCAUUGGAUCCCUGUCGCCUUACUUCAAUACCAAUCCUGGAGCGAGGUCGCCACUGGCUGGUUUCCAUUGGCUACCAUACAUCAUGGUUACCGGGGUGACCCGGGCUCUAUUUGCAUAGCCCAGCCUGAUUGGCUGGAGGCAGAGCAGGCUUCUUAGGAGGUGGGGCAAAAUCCUACUCUCCCACGGAAAGCCACGCCUACCCCAGGCCCCUCCUUCGUUCCCUCCCGAGGGGUUGGCUCUGAUGACCUGGGCAGGGACUCUGCUUCGCAGACGCAGUGUCGAUCUAAUCUUGAGCGCAAGUUUCGUUUUUGGAGAUUGUCAAGGUGACACCCUCGGGGACUCCGUUUCCUUUUACAAACCGACACAGGGGAAAGCUAUCUCAAGAUAUGGCCAUUCUCAGUUAUCCUGGGGUGCCCCCAAAUCCAGCAGCAAGUGUCCUUGGAAGAUACAUCCAGAGAGAAGGACAAAGCCCUGUGAAGAUGGAGACAGGUUGCAGCAAGCAGCUGCAGCCAAGGCACAUGUGACAGCCACUGGAAGCUGAGAGGCAAGGGGGAGAAUCUUUAAACCUGGAGGGAGCAGGGCCUUGCCAACAUCUUGAUUUGGACUUUUGACCUCCAGCCCUGUGUGAGAAUACAUUUCUGUUGAGCUGUCCACUUUGUGGCGAUUUGUGUAACAGGAAACAAAUCCAGCCUUCUAUCCUGCUUGCCUAGCAUUUCAAACCUCUCAACGCUUUACUUUGUAG
rnacentral:lncRNA from 1 species